rnacentral:rRNA from 1 species
GAUGAACGCUAGCGGCAGGCCUAACACAUGCAAGUCGAGGGGCAGCACAGAAACAGCAAUGUCUUGGUGGCGACCAGCGGACGGGUGCGUAACGCGUAUGCAACCUACCUUUAACAGGGGGAUAACGGAGAGAAAUUUCCACUAAUACCCCAUAACAUCGAACAAGGCAUCUUGAUUGGUUGAAAACUCCGGUGGUUAAAGAUGGGCAUGCGUUGUAUUAGGUAGUUGGUGAGGUAAUGGCUCACCAAGCCUACGAUACAUAGGGGGACUGAGAGGUUAGCCCCCCACACUGGUACUGAGACACGGACCAGACUCCUACGGGAGGCAGCAGUGAGGAAUAUCGGUCAAUGGGGGCAACCCUGAACCAGCCAUGCCGCGUGCAGGAAGACGGCUCUAUGAGUUGUAAACUGCUUUUAAACAGGGAUAAAGCACAGUAUGUAUACUGUGUUGAAGGUACUGUAAGAAUAAGGAUCGGCUAACUCCGUGCCAGCCGCCGCAGUAG